rnacentral:rRNA from 1 species
UACGUAGGGUGCGAGCGUUGUCCGGAAUCAUUGGGCGUAAAGAGCGUGUAGGCGGCCCGGUAAGUCCGCUGUGAAAGUCCAGGGCUCAACCCUGGGAUGCCGGUGGAUACUGUCGGGCUCGAGUCCGGGAAGAGGAGUGUGGGAAUUCCUGGUGUAGCGGUGAAUGCGCAGAGUAUCAGGAGGAACACCAAUGGCGAAGGCAGCACUCUGGGACGUGACUGACGCUGAGACGCGAAAGCGUGGGGAGCAAACAGG